rnacentral:tRNA from 2 species
GCGUUCGUGGCGCAGUUGGAUAGCGCACUCGACUCCGACUCGAGAGGUCGCAGGUUCGAAUCCUGUCGAGCGCA